rnacentral:rRNA from 1 species
AGUGAACGCUGGCGGCAGGCCUAACACAUGCAAGUCGAGCGGCAGCGGGUCCUUCGGGAUGCCGGCGAGCGGCGGACGGGUGAGGAAUGCAUCGGAAUCUGCCCUGUCGUGGGGGAUAACCUAGGGAAACUUAGGCUAAUACCGCAUACGACCCACGGGUGAAAGCGGGGGAUCGCAAGACCUCGCGCGAUAGGAUGAGCCGAUGUCCGAUUAGCUAGUUGGCGGGGUAAGGCCCAACAAGGCGACGAUCGGUAGCUGGGCUGAGAGGAUGAUCAGCCAAACUGGGACUGAGACACGGCCCAGACUCCUACGGGAGGCAGCAGUGGGGAAUAUUGGACAAUGGGCGCAAGCCUGAUCCAGCCAUGCCGCGUGGGUGAAGAAGGCCUUCGGGUUGUAAAGCCCUUUUGUCCGGGAAGAAAUCGUCUGGGCUAAUACCCCGGGCGGAUGACGGUACCGGAAGAAUAAGCACCGGCUAACUUCGUG